rnacentral:rRNA from 1 species
UACGGAGGGUCCAAGCGUUAUCCGGAAUCAUUGGGUUUAAAGGGUCCGCAGGCGGACUUAUAAGUCAGUGGUGAAAGCCCAUAGCUUAACUAUGGAACUGCCAUUGAUACUGUAAGUCUUGAAUUCGGUCGAAGUGGGCGGAAUAUGUCAUGUAGCGGUGAAAUGCAUAGAUAUGACAUAGAACACCGAUAGCGAAGGCAGCUCACUAGGCCUGGAUUGACGCUCAGGGACGAAAGCGUGGGGAGCGAACAGG